rnacentral:rRNA from 1 species
AUGAAGAGUUUGAUCCUGGCUCAGGAUGAACGCUAGCGGCAGGCUUAACACAUGCAAGUCGAGGGGUAACAGAGGUAGCUUGCUACUUGCUGACGACCGGCGCACGGGUGCGUAACGCGUAUAGAAUCUACCUUGUACUAGGGGAUAGCCUUUGGAAACGAAGAUUAAUACCCUAUAGUAAGUAUUUAUGGCAUCAUUUAUACUUUAAAGAUUACGGUACAAGAUGACUAUGCGUCCUAUUAGUUUGUUGGUGAGGUAACGGCUCACCAAGACUUCGAUAGGUAGGGGCCCUGAGAGGGGGAUCCCCCACACUGGUACUGAGACACGGACCAGACUCCUACGGGAGGCAGCAGUGAGGAAUAUUGGACAAUGGAGGCAACUCUGAUCCAGCCAUGCCGCGUGCAGGAAGA